GUGCGUCUGGGGAAUGUAACCGGGUAGAAUUGGAAUGAGAUGCCUGCAGAGACAGCACGAGGGGGUGAACCCUACACAUGCCAGGAAGACGUUGUCAAACGUGGUGAACCCCCUUCAGUAAGAAGCUGUUGCGACCCGUUCUCACCUUAUCAAAUCAGAGGCUGCAUGAAGUCCUGGGGGGGUUUAAAAACCACUUGCUGGGUUACAUGGAGGCAGAAUCGUGGAAUUGUUUUCUCGGAUGGACCCACAUGCGACUGGAUUCAUCUUUUUUUUUUUUUUUUGCAGUUACAAACUAAACUUCAUUUUAUUUUAAUUUUUAAAUGAUUUUUAUUUUUUCCAUUAUAACUGGUUUACAGUGUUCUGUCAAUUUUCUACGCGCAGCAAGGUGACCCGGUCACACAUACAUAUAUAGAUUCUUUUUUCUCCCAUUAUGAUGCUCCAUCAUAAGUGACCAGAUGGACUCAUCUUCUUAAAUGAAAAGAGCAUCUGAGAAAACAGCAUCAUUAUGCGAGUCGGUCCUUCCUUUUAACAACCGCAUGGAGCAUAAACCACUGUGUUCUUUCCAGCUCUGAAAAUGGAAUUCCAGCUUUCAAAACAGCCAAGGGAGUUAUUUACGUAAUGAACUAAAAACAAAUAAAAAACCCAGCAAGCACCAGGACUCUUCUUAAGGACCCACCUUCCUUGAAGGGCUCUUAUGAGAAUCAGAUGCUCAAAGAACGCAGGGGAAUGCCAGGUCUGGCCAGUGGAGAUUCAACGUUGGCUCUUACUUGGGGAGGUGGAGGGUGGGGAGUGGCUGGGGCAUCACUAAAGCAUCACGGGACAGGGAACUGCCCUGCGUGGCCGACAGAGGCACAGAGGUGAGGAAGGAGAGGGAGCAGCCAGGGGGGAAAGUGGACCAGGAGCCCAUUCCCGGACCGAGCCACAUUUAAGUAGAGCUGUGGAGGGAGUUCCCGUUGUGGCUCAGUGGUUAACAAAUCCGACUAGGAAACAUGAGGUUGCAGGUUUGAUCCCUGGCCUUGCUCAGUGGGUUAAGGAUCUGGUGUUGCCGUAGACCCAUAACCUGGGAACCUCCAUAUGCCUUGAGAGUGGCCCUAAAAGAGGCAAAAAAAAAAAAAAAAAAAAAAAAAAAAAAAAAAAA
rnacentral:lncRNA from 1 species